CUCCAAGUGUGGACGAGAGUGUGUUUGUUAAUAGGAAGAGGUACCACAGCAUCAACACGCAAGUAGAGAUACGGCACACUCCAGACAGAGUGUGCCGUAUCAUUAUGGCAUGUGCAAUACUGCACAACAUUUGUAAGGAGCGCAAUGUCCCACUUCCACCAGCAGACGAUGAUGACGAUGAGGGAGGAGAUGGAGACGCGAGCGUCCCUGGCAACAUCCAUCCAUGUGAUGGGGCAGCCUUCAGACAACACUUCGCCAACCUCCACUUUGGUGCCUGCAGAUCAUCCGUCUCCUCUGCUGAGUCGCAAUCACUCACCUCGGCCUGAAAAACAAAAGAGACGGCAUGCUCAAGAUGUGAUAAACUUAAGUUGAUUUCUUCUUUUUCUUUUUCACCCACCACUUGAUUGUUGCCUGUUGCCUCACACGAAGUGCUUGGGCCUGGCUGCACCGCGUCAAAGGCAGAGGGAGAGUGCGCAGGGGAGUGGGACACAGGAGACUCUAAUGCAUCUCGAUCCAAACUGAAACAUAAAGAAUAUGGCUGAAAUAUCAGAAAUGGUCCUGUUGUUGUUAUGACGUGAACAAACACAUUUUAGAUAUUUACUUAACAGUAGCCUGCAUAUCCAACAACAAUCACGCACGUAUCUCUCACCAAAACGCACCUAGGCUGCAGCGCAAUAUCCCUAUAGGGUUGCAACCGCAAUAAUUUGUGAACUCACCCUUUUGAAAGCAACUCAAGCUUCAUCGCAGCUGGAUCCUGGCCGCCGUCCAACCCAGAGAUGCUGGGGUUAUCCUCUCCAAGAAUGCGCUGCACAACUUCUGCAACUGCGCUCAAAUCUUUGCCAGGUGGUCCUCCGCCUGCAUAAGAAUAUACAAACGAAUUAAUUCGAUAUGAGCGAAUAAGGUGGCAUGCAAGCAAAUGAAAAAGAAGCACUACAUACCAGUGCGCAUGGAGCAGGCCUUGAAAGCUGCGAUUUCACUUCUGCUUUUCGAGAGAACGUUAUACCACUUCUUCUCGCAGUCAGCUGGUGACCGAUGGCUGAAGGUUUGAGAGGCGUUAAGUUGAUUUGAUAUGUCUUCCCAUGCCUGUUUUUUAUCAUGGCUGGUAAGCGUCGGGCUGAACUUGCCUUUAAUGAUGAGCUUCCUUUCCUCGACUAGCUCUACUAACAACAGUGUCUCCUCCUCUCGCCAGUUUGGUUUUCUUUUCGAUUCCAUGUUGAUUUCUGCAUGUGGCUGCAGUGGGCUAGUAUAUAUAGAGCCACCCACACCAGUUUCAAAUUAGUUGCCUAAUUAAUGAAUUGGAAAGAAAAGGAAACAUUUAUUUUUGAUUCAUUGCCAAUAUUGUUU
rnacentral:lncRNA from 1 species